UGUAAGCGUAUACCAAAGUUGUUGCAGUUAAAACGCUCGUAGUCGGAAUUUGGCAGUUCCGGAUGUGUGCACGUCGUGUGCGCACUUCGCGGGGAUUGCUUUUGUGGUCUUGCGUAGGAUGAGGCACUUUUAUUAGUGAACGUCCUCACGCAACCACUUUUUACUGUGAGAAAAUCAGAGUGCUCAAAGCAGGCAUUUGCCGUGAAUGUAUUAGCAUGGAAUAAUAGAAUAGGACUUGGUUCUAUUUUGUUGGUUUGUUGGGACUGAGUAAUGAUUAAGAGGGACAGUUGGGGGCAUUCGUAUUUCGGUGCUAGAGGUGAAAUUCUUAGAUUACCGAAAGACAAACUGCUGCGAAAGCGUCUGCCAAGGAUGUCUUCAUUGA
rnacentral:rRNA from 1 species